rnacentral:rRNA from 1 species
GUCUAUGGCCAUGUCACCCUGAGCAAAGCCGAUGUCGAUCUCAGAAGCUAAACAUGGUCGGGCCUGGUUAGUACUUGGAUGGGAGACUACCUAGGAAGACCAGGUGCUCUAGGCA